AGUGAACGCUGGCGGUAGGCCUAACACACGCAAGUCGAACGGCAGCACAGUAAUAGCUUGCUCUUACGGGUGGCGAGUGGCGGACGGGUGAGGAAUACAUCGGAAUCUACUUUUUCGUGGGGGAUAACGUAGGGAAACUUACUCUAAUAUCGCAUACGCCCUACGGGUGAAAGCAUGGGAUCUUCGGACCUUGCGCGAUUGAAUGAGCCGAUGUCGGAUUAGCUAGUUGGCGGGGUAAAGGCCCACCAAGGCGACGAUCCGUAGCUGGUCUGAGAGGAUGAUCAGACACACUGGAACUGAGACACGGUCCAGACUCCUAAGGGAGGCAGCAGUGGGGAAUAUUGGACAAUGGGCGCAAGCCUGAUCCAGCCAUACCGCGUGGGUGAAGAAGGCCUUCGGGUUGUAAAGACCUUUUGUUGGGAAAGAAAAGCAGCAGGUUAAUACCACGCUGUUCUGACGGUACCCAAAGAAUAAGCACCGGCUAACUUCGUG
rnacentral:rRNA from 1 species